AGGAGGAGGAGAAGGAGGAGGGAAGUGAAAGUGAAAGUCCAGUUUCUGGCUUCAUGACUUUGCAGACUGAGUUGUGAGGAGCUGCUUCUUUCAUUUCUCUGCAGGAAAUCUUCCUUCUUCUCCCAGGAUUUAAGGAUUUUUCCUCCACCAGAGACACAGAGACACACUGGAAACCUGUGGGAGAAGGACACGGAAACAGUGGAAGCCUGGAUGAUCAAAGCAGCAGCAUGACAUGGAGGACCAUGACUUACACCCUGCUUCUAAUGGUAUUCAUCGCCGCAAUUGACCUGACGAAGGGAAACAUCAAUGAAUAUUUCGAUUUAAAUGACUGGAAAGAACAUCUGACACAGCCAAUUUCACUCAGAAAACCCAAAGAUCCCAAAAACAUCAUAGAGUGUACUUUAGAGCGAGAGUGUGAAACCCGAACUGAACUCCAACACUUUUUGUUUCACCUUUUUGAAGAUAACGAAAGAAAAGAAGGCUCGAAAAUCAAAACUGAAAAGUGCCAAGGGGAAGACUUUAAAAACAUUUCUUUCUAUGACUUCAUAUGUUUAAUUGCCAAAGCAGUCAAUCAGACGGCAGAAGGUUGCCACGACUACGAAACCGUGUGGUGGUUAUAUUCAGGACAACCAUCAAACCUUUACAAUACAGAAGCAACAAUAACAACAACAUUGCCCAGAACAACAACAGCACCAACAACACAACUGACAACAAAGUCAGAAACUACUACACUGUCACUGAGUUCAACCACAGACUAUAGUUCGCCUACGACAACGAAAGAAACCACAGACAAAGGCGGCACAGUCAGAGGUCAAAAAACUGACAGUCAUGCAGAGAAUCCUGGCUUGAAGAUUGUCGUCGUGAUAUCCUUAAUCGGCAAUUUGGUGUUUUUCCUCUUAUUUCUUUACGGAAGAAGGAACACGUUUCACUCUACCAACAGGCCGCUCUCCAGCGUAGGUGAAGCUCAGUCCUUGCAGCUGCUACAGUACAAUAAUUUUGAGAUGAAUAGAGUGGGAAAUGCAGCACCACAUUAAGGAGCGUUGUCUUCUCUGUAGACUCUGAGCACGCCCUUAUCUGUGGACACGGCCCACAACACGUGAAGUUCGACUAUUUUGAAAAAGCAGAAACAAGACCCUGAACAGCUGUGGAUUGUCAAAAACUCUCAGACAAAAUCUCCAAUGUGAAUAUUUAAUGCAAAUAUGAAAACUCUGCUAGUGUCAGUUCACUUAGCUUUGACACAUAUAGCUUAUUCUCUAGCCUGACACGUUUUGGUCACUGGUCCCUCUUUUUAAGCUGUAUGUAGGCUUUAGUUCAAGCUGCUGGCAUUGAUCUUUUUUUUUUUUUUAACCAAAUCUGGCUCUUUGGAGCAUCCUAUUCGGCCUGUAGGAGAAAGUAAAAAUGACUGAGAAAACAUGAAUAAUUGUGUGAAUAAAACCCAACAAUAACUGCA
rnacentral:lncRNA from 1 species